GUGGGGAAUAUUGGACAAUGGGCGAAAGCCUGAUCCAGCCAUGCCGCGUGUGUGAAGAAGGUCUUCGGAUUGUAAAGCACUUUAAGUUGGGAGGAAGGGCAGUAAGUUAAUACCUUGCUGUUUUGACGUUACCGACAGAAUUAGCACCGGCUAACUUCGUGCCAGCAGCCGCGGUAAUACGAAGGGUGCAAGCGUUAAUCGGAAUUACUGGGCGUAAAGCGCGCGUAGGUGGUUUUGUAAGUUGGAGGUGAAAUCCCCGGGCUCAACCUGGGAACUGCCUCCAAAAAUGCAUGACUAGAGUACGGUAGAGGGUAGUGGAAUUUCCUGUGUAGCGGUGAAAUGCGUAGAUAUAGGAAGGAACACCAGUGGCGAAGGCGACUACCUGGACUGAUACUGACACUGAGGUGCGAAAGCGUGGGGAGCAAACAGGAUUAGAUACCCUUGUAGUCC
rnacentral:rRNA from 1 species